CCCAAGAGAUCGGGAUAACACCUGGAAACAGAUGCUAAUACCGGAUAACAACAGAUGAUGCCUAUCAACUGCUUUAAAAGAUGAUUCUGCUAUCACUCUUGGAUGGACCUGCGGUGCAUUAGCUAGUUGGUAGGGUAACGGCCUACCAAGGCGAUGAUGCAUAGCCGAGUUGAGAGACUGAUCGGCCACAUUGGGACUGAGACACGGCCCAAACUCCUACGGGAGGCAGCCAGUC
rnacentral:rRNA from 1 species